UACGUAGGGGGCAAGCGUUGUCCGGAAUCAUUGGGCGUAAAGAGCGUGUAGGCAGUUCGGUAAGUCGGCUGUGAAAGUCCAGGGCUCAACCCUGGGAUGCCGGUGGAUACUGCUGGGCUAGAGUACGGAAGAGGAGAAUGGAAUUCCUGGUGUAGCGGUGAAAUGCGCAGAUAUCAGGAAGAACACCCGUGGCGAAGGCGGUUCUCUGGGACGGUACUGACGCUGAGACGCGAAAGCGUGGGGAGCGAACAGG
rnacentral:rRNA from 1 species